GACGAACGCUGGCGGCGUGCUUAACACAUGCAAGUCGAGCGGAAAGGCCCUUCGGGGUACUCGAGCGGCGAACGGGUGAGUAACACGUGGGUAACCUGCCCUUCACUCUGGGAUAACUCCGGGAAACCGGGGCUAAUACCGGAUACGACCACUUUAGGCAUCUUCGGUGGUGGAAAGUUUUUCGGUGGAGGAUGGACCCGCGGCCUAUCAGCUUGUUGGUGGGGUAAUGGCCUACCAAGGCAGUGACGGGUA
rnacentral:rRNA from 1 species